rnacentral:rRNA from 1 species
UACGUAGGGUGCAAGCGUUAAUCGGAAUUACUGGGCGUAAAGCGUGCGCAGGCGGUUUCUGAAGUCCGUUGUGAAAGCCCCGGGCUUAACCUGGGAAUGGCAGUGGAAACUAGGAGACUUGAAUCUGGCAGAGGGGGGUGGAAUGCCACGUGUAGCAGUGAAAUGCGUAGAGAUGUGGCGGAACACCGAUGGCGAAGGCAGCCCCCUGGGUCAAGAUUGACGCUCAGGCACGAAAGCGUGGGGAGCAAACAGG